rnacentral:lncRNA from 1 species
CCAGGCUUUAGGUUCUUUUGGUGAGUAGACGAUAUCUGAAGUGCUGCACCCACAUUAUGACUAUGUGAUCAUAUUUAUUUGGAGAAAACAAAAAACCCACAACCCACAGGAUGGGAUUUUACAUCAAGACAUCUCCCAGGCUGAAGCCCCUUCACCUUCUGCCAUGAGUGGAAGCAGCCUGAGGACCUCACCAAAGGCAGAUUCUGGUGCCAUGCUCCUUGUCCAAUCUGCAGAACUAUGAGCCAAAUAAACCAUUUUUCUUUAUAAAUUACC